rnacentral:rRNA from 1 species
UGGGGAAUCUUCCAGCAAUGGACGAAAGUCUGAUGGAGCAACGCCGCGUGAGYGAUGAAGGCCUUCGGGUYGUAAAGCUCUGUUGUCAGGGAAGAACAAGUAUCGGAGUAACUGCCGGUACCUUGACGGUUCCUGACCAGAAAGCCACGGCUAACUACCUGCCAGCAGCCGCGGUAAUA